GUCCAGGGAGCUGCAGCCGUGUACGUGUGCCUCCUCGUCACCACCGCUUCAAGGGCUUCUCCGCCACUACGCCGUCGUCCUUGACUGCUAGGCUUCAACGGCUUCAAGUGCUAGCAGACGCAGCAAUCUCUGAGAGCAAGGAUUAAAUGUCCAAGGACCCUAGCCCGAUGACGACGGAGGGACAGAGGAGACCACAUGGAGGACAUGCACUACAUCCAUAUGAACAAGAGCGCCUCCGACAAUGUAUGGCCAACAGUGCUAGGCUUCGGGAACUUGGAGUUUCUGGUUUUUCCAGCAUAUUUCCAAACAAUAGUGGCACUGCUGUAAACAAGAAAAAUGCAAAGCAUAGAGAUAAUGAAGACUCUGGAUCUGAGUAUGAUCCUUCACAGGAUGAUACUGAUCAAGGAGAUUUGAUUGGUGAUGACAAU